rnacentral:rRNA from 1 species
AUGUCCGGAUCCAACCUUCAAGGCCGGUGGAUGACCUCCUCUAUCAUAGAGGAGGACAUUGCGAAGCCCAGGGAGGCCAGGUAUCUGACCGCCGACAUCAAGCACAGGCUUCCUGCCCAAGGGCAGGUCAUCCCCACUCCCAAACCCAACGAGAGCGUUGUAUUUGUUUCCCACUUCCUCCGAGGCUUAGGCUUUAGUCUUGAUCCUUUCGUGAGAGGGCUCAUGUUCUAUUACGGGCUAGAUUUUCACGAUCUAGCUCCGGAUUCCAUCCUUCACAUCUCGUCGUUCAUCGUCGUGUGCGAAGCCUUCCUCCACAUCACCCUACACUUCGACUUAUGGCUCAAGACCUUCAAUGUAAAGCUGAAGGUGAUCGACGGGCGACACGCGAUGUGCAGGGGCGCUAUAAUAAGCAAAAGCACCGAUGUUCCAUGGCCAGAAGGUUCCUCCCCGGAGGUGUCCGAUUUGUGGCAACAGAGGUGGUUCUACAUCACAGCUCCUCGAGGCACAAAGUGGGCGGCUGCCCCCGCCUUCCGCUCGGGCCCUCCGCCUCAACUGGCGUCAUGGACCAACGUGGGACCAGACUGGGGGCCUGCUAAUGACGUACCAACAUUGCAGAGCCGUAUUCGGGAGCUUCUUGAGGGGGAUAUCAGCCUCAUCAAAGUAAUUCAGGUAAUGCUAGUUCGACGGGCCUUGCCGUGCAAACGUCGACCUCUCCGGAUGUGGGAGUUCAACCCAGAAGGACCGCGAACAAUUCAGCACUUCUUCGGCAUGACGCUCGAAGGGAUGUAUAGGUUAUUCUUCGGACCACACGUGAAGUGUUCGGACACCACCGAGGAUGUGGGUUUGAACUACAAUCGUCCAGAUACCCAAGUAAGUAACCCUGCAACCGAGCACUCUGUUCAUAUUUAUCACAACAUUAUUCUGAAAACUAUCCGUGGCCAAGAUUGGCUUAGCAAGGCGGAGAGGAUCAGGUGUCCGGCCCCGCUUCCUGAAGGCUCGCCGAAUCCUGCGUUAACCAGGAUGCUUAGACGCGCGCUGAAUCAAGUGCCAUCGGAGAAGGAUGAAGGGAAGAGUAAAGAAGCCGAGAACGAGCUUCAUACAUUGUACAUCCAAACCGGGGGGAUUAAUGACUCUACAAAGGAGGAUAAUCGGGGAGGUGAAUCUAAGGUUCGCUCCCCCCGCGGGAAGAAAAGGGCCGUCUCCGAAGACUUGGAAGCGGAGGUGCCUAAACAAGGGAAGAAAACUUCGCCAGGGGGCCCUGCCCCAGAGGGCGUCCUCACCGCGCAACGCCCGCAAACGGGCCAACCCUCCACCGAGCUGUAA